rnacentral:rRNA from 1 species
AUACGGAGGGUGCAAGCGUUACUCGGAAUCACUGGGCGUAAAGCGCGCGCAGGCGGGCUGAUAAGUUGGAUGUGAAAGCCUACGGCUCAACCGUAGAACUGCAUCCAAAACUGUCAGUCUAGAGUCUGGGAGGGGGAGAUGGAAUUAGUUGUGUAGGGGUAAAAUCCGUAGAGAUAACUAGGAAUACCAAAAGCGAAGGCGAUCUUCUGGAACAGUACUGACGCUGAGGCGCGAAAGCGUGGGGAGCAAACAGGAUUAGAAACCCUAGUAGUCC